rnacentral:rRNA from 1 species
GACGAACGCUGGCGGCGUGCUUAACACAUGCAAGUCGAACGGUAAGGCCCUUCGGGGUACACGAGUGGCGAACGGGUGAGUAACGCGUGAGUAACCUGCCCUUCACUCUGGGAUAACAGUUGGAAACCGCUGCUAAUACCGGAUAUUCAGCUCCUGUCGCAUGGUGGGGGUUGGAAAGUUUUGGUGGUGGAGGAUGGGCUCGCGUCCUAUCAGCUUGUUGGUGGGGUGAUGGCCUACCAAGGCGUCGACGGGUAGCCGGCCUGAGAGGGCGACCGGCCACAUUGGGACUGAGAUACGGCCCAAACUCCUACGGGAGGCAGCAGUGGGGAAUAUUGCACAAUGGGCGGAAGCCUGAUGCAGCAACGCCGCGUGCGGGAUGACGGCCUUCGGGUUGUAAACCGCUUUCAGCAGGGACGAAGCGCAAGUGACGGUACCUGCAGAAGAAGCACCGGCUAACUACGUG